UACUACGUGUGGUAUGCUCUGCAUUGUAGGGGUGCAGAGAUAAUUUAGCUUUUUGUAAUUGAUGAUUUCCCAUUUCUUUGUGCAAAUUGGAAAUAUGUCAAAGAGAAGCAGGUGUAUGGUGUCAAAAGAUACAUGGCAAGGAAGGAAUCCACACGAAAAAAGUCGAAAACUGGUGAAAAACAUUGACUAUGAAAGACUCGCUGCUGAGGUACUAAAACAACAAAAUCAGUCAACAACGAGCAGCAAGGAGUCCGGAUGACCAUUCCUAGCAGAACUAUUGAGCCAACUUCAUCUUCGAGCACUCCCUAGGCAACCCCUCCUACACAGAGCACUAUUCAGGCAUCCCCUCCAUCUACUCGGAGCACUAUCCAGACAACCCCGAUAGCUACUCAAAAUACUGAAAGGUCAUCAAGCAGGACAAUAAGGGUUGGACACUGUGUCAGGAAGUCAAGAUGCCUCAGUGGAGAAAUUGGUGACCAGUGUAUUGGAAGGUACAUGUUCAGGGGAACAUAUCAAAAAACGGACAAUCUCAUUUCUUUAUCUGAUGGCAUCCCUUAGGAGCAUCAAUUUCAGUCAAAAAUAAAAGGGUUUGGGUAAAUAUGGGUGAAGAAGUUUCUGGCCAAAUCAUGAAAAUAAUUCCUUCACUUGGACAGUGACUUCAGUUACAAUUAUUGAACAGUAGAAUUCUUAAUUAUCCCUCUUUUAAUGUAAACAAUAGACAAAUACCUUUUAAGUUUUCAUUUGUAUCUACUUAGAGAAAUUUCCAACUGACGCCCCUCAUCAAUUAUAGUAUCUUACACUGGUUAAGAAAAUGUGUAAAUUACACGGUUAGGUGAUACAAAAACACGUGGAACACAGUUCUUCACUUGGUAGGAUUGGUGGCCCCUUUUUUCAAUCAGAAACCUUUUAAUGAUUUUCGGGUCAUCCCCAUAACAUAAGAUGUUCCAAAAUUAGAUCCAGGAAAUUUAGGAUAAUCUAUUACCUUGGCUUAUCCCAGAAAUGUUUCCAUAAAUUCAGGUGUUCUAGGAGUCUGAGGGCACUAUGUUUAAUUGAUGAGAUCAUUAAAUUAUUUAGCAGGAGGAAUAUCUCACAUAUUACCUGGUAGAUAAUUUCUUUUUUAUUGGUACAACCAUUUCAAGAAUAUAUUGCAUUGGUAUAACAAUGUGUUUGUACGUGUCCAAAUUAAAGAUGAUUAAAACACAUUUCCUUCAACUACAUAGUACAUUUGUAAGUAUGCUAUCAAAAUUAGCUCUGUUGCUUUGGAAUACUGAUUGCCUGGGGCUGAAUUACUUAAAGUAAACAUAAAUUUGAAUGAUACUAGGUUUAUGAAGAAAGUAUGCAGUCUUUUAUUUGUCUGCUUAGUUUUGCAUGUGCUGUAUACGUAAGUAGUUCCCGGAAGGACAUUCCUAAUGCGACCAAUCAAGUUUAACUUGAGGGUACCAAAAACCUAUUUCUUUACAAUAAACUCACUUUUGACUGAAGCAAGGGCAGCUCUUGACACUUGGUAAUAUUUCAUUGAGUAUUACAAUGGGAAAUAUAUACUUCUUUCCUACUGAUGAUUAUCUUUGCAAUACCUCACACUUUUCACCGAUGCCUCUGGGUCAGUAGAUUUUGCUUCAGUCUUGGGGAAUAUUUCACCUUUUCUAGAAACAAGCAUCAAUACCACAUCAUCUCUUGAUAAUGUAAACACCAGUGGCUUAAAGCAAUUUCACUGCAUCUUUAUCAAAUAGCACAAGAGCAUCUUAAUGUCAAUGAAGCUGGAAGAUUUUUAAGUCUGGUCAGCGGUUUCAGUUGCCUAAUACCUAUUUCACCUAUAUUUUUAUGCAAUUUCAUUACUCAUUUAUUUGCCAACAAAUACUCAACUAAUAGCAUUUCAUCCCACACAUGUGCAAUAGGGUUUAUACACAAAAUAAAAAAUCUUGCAGAUCCAGCAUAAUCUGUUCUUAUUAAAAGAAUUUACGUGGUCAAUUCAUUGUGGUCAACCAGUGUCUCAUUCAUUUGUAAAUAAACAUCUAAAUUAAGCAGUAUCUGUCAUUGGUCUGAAUCAAAAACUAUAGGAAAGGCAUAGCUUUCGAAUUGGUGCAGCAAAGGAUAAUGCAAAAUUGGGAUUUUCAGAAAAAAUCUAUUCAAAAAAUGGGGAGAUGGAAUUCGGAUGCAAUUAAAAAGAAUAAGAUUAGAAAGCUUUCAUUUGUAAGUGACAAGUCAAUUACUUAUAGGCAUUGUGGGAUUUAAUUUUUUAGAAAUUCGUUGAGUUGACUCUUCAGGCCAGAAGGUGUCUGCUGAAAAUCAUAUUGUCGGCUGCAAUCUAUCAUAAAGUGUAGUUUUUGUGAAGUUAAACCUUCAGGCCAGAAGGUGUCUGCUGAGGUCUAUCAUGAACUGUGGGUUUGAUGAAGUCAACUUCCAGGCCAGAAGUUGUCUGCUGAAAAUUAUCACGAAUUGUAUAUCGGGUAAAGUUCAACUUUAGGCCAGAAGUUGUCUGCUGAUGUUUGGAGAAUAUCAUGUAUCGUACACAUAUGUGGUUAUCCAUUUACGUUUAAUAGGUGAUAGCUAAGGUUUAAAGUAUGGGUAUUGCGAUACCAAAGAUUGUCUUUUUAAUUGCAUUUUGUAGACAUGUUUUGAGCCAAACUCCUUUAACUUACAUUCUAACUUACAUGUUAAUAUCGGUUAUUAUCAAAUAUAUGUAACCUUGGUGUUGCAAUUGUUACCAAGGAAAAAAAAAUGUGCCUACCUCUGAGUUGAUCAAGUACAUCAUGAAAUAGUCAGAUUUGAAUGUGCAAAAUUAUUACUACUCCGUCUCGGUGAUUUCUAAUUAUACAUGUAAUAGGAAUACUGAUUAUAAUGUAUGUCCUCGUUAUACAAGUUCACUUUGGGUGGCAGUGUGUACAAACAUUGCAUGCUUGUACUUUGGCAGUUUUUGUCUGCCACCUUUUUUGCUGAUUGUUAUUUUUUACAUUCUGGAUUGUUUAUUUGGAUUUUCUUCAUGUAAUAUGUUACACUGGGGAGAUCAACUAAUGUUUUGUACAAAUUUACACAUUCUUUCAAGAGUGAUCUCCCCUUUAUCUGAUGUAUCUUUUCAUUAUCUGCCGUCAUUUAUACAUGUACAAUAAAUGACAAAUUCAUCCAUCAAACUUUGUGUUUGCGUUACUUUAAUAUGGAUGUGAUAUGGUCUACAUAAAUUUAGAAGUGUGUGCAAAAAACUAGCUUCAGUGAACUUGUAAAAUUAGUUAAAUUACACUGGAGAACAUAAAACUGCAUUAUUGUAAAUAAUAGCAUUUAUGUACUCAUGUAAUGAUUUUUAUGUACUCAUGUAAUGAAGUUUUGAGUUUGUACUUUUAGCUUGUUAAUCAAUCCGUUUUUAUCCGUGUUUCAAUUUUGUGUCAAUAUUAGAGCGAUCGAUAGGGGGUAAUUUUACCGACCAAUCAGAAGAGACACUAAAUGUAGAUUCUACGUCACUUCUUGUUUUGAUUCGAUCGCAGUAAGAAGGGUUUUCCAAGUGUUGCCCACCAUCCACCCCGAUCAUUAUUCCACCUUUAUGCCAUACUGCUAAAUUAAUAUGCAAUGUAAAGGGUUAAUGUAUAAAAUGUUUAAAAAUACAUAUAUGUUUAUAUAUUUUAAUAUGAUUUUAUUUUGGCAGUUGUUUAUCUGCCAAGGCAGUUUUUGUCUGCCACCUUUUUUGCUGAUUGUUAUUUUUUACAUUCUGGAUUGUUUAUUUGGAUUUUCUUCAUGUAAUAUGUUACACUGGGGAGAUCAACUAAUGUUUUGUACAAAUUUACACAUUCUUUCAAGAGUGAUCUCCCCUUUAUCUGAUGUAUCUUUUCAUUAUCUGCCGUCAUUUAUACAUGUACAAUAAAUGACAAAUUCAUCCAUCAAA